rnacentral:rRNA from 1 species
AUGGCGGACGCGGAGGCGGCGCGCGGUGAGCGUCUGGUGCGGUCGGGCUCGUCGGGUGCGCGCGGGACGUGUGGGAUGCACUGGUGCGGUCGGGCUCGUCGGGCGCAUCGGGUGCGCGUGGGACGUGCGGGGCGCAGAGGGAUGCUAGGCGUGUGUCGCCGGCGGAGAAGGAACUCGGCGUAUGCCGCCGGAGUCGUGACGGAGCACGGUGAGACCGGCGUGAGUGCUCCAGAUUGGGUCCGUGGUGGUGCCACCGGCGUCGAUGCGUCGAAUCGGGUCCGCGGGCUGGGUCACGGCUAUGACGACGACAAUGACAGGAUGAGAGGUGAGGUAGCUAGAGGGCUGCGGUUCCAACAAGAAAGAUGGGGUGGUGGUAGCCAUUGCUCCGGCGAGCAUGACGACGGCCCGAAGGGCUCGCCGACUGGGUCGGUGACCAAUGACGCUCCUGGUGAAAAAGCCCUAGAUCGAGCGGUCAAAACAGAUCACGCCUCCUCGAUUCCUUCCACUCCCUCGACACCACCUCCCUUCCACCCGGCGGCGCCUCCUCCUUCCUCCUCAUCUGGCGGCGCCUUCUCCUUCCUCCUCGUCCGCCUUCAUCCCCAUCCGGCGGUGCCUCCUCCUUCCUACCCAUCCAGCAACGCCUCCUCCCUCCUUUCCACGGCCUCCAGCACAGCGCGCCACCGGCUAGCUGCACCACCACCGUAUCCGCGAGAGAGGAAGUUGCGGGAGGAGGAGAGCCCAUACUGUGAGGAAGACGUGGGGAGGAGCUCUACCCGGCUCAGCUGCCGGCCAGGAUCUGGAAGAAGAGGAGACCCAUGCGGUGCCCUGGACAGGUGGCAGCAGCCGUCAAGACAGGAGCGGCGCCGUGAGCGACGGCCCUUGGUCGUCUUCAGGUGUGCGUCGUUCGUGGUGGCCAGUCGUAGGUGUUGCCGGGCGACCAGAGGCGCCUGCAGCAGGCCGGUGCCCCUUAGCAAGAUUGGCAUGAACUGGGAGGCAACCGGUCAGAGUAUAACCCAGAUCAGUCCUUAUGGGAGAGAGGGUUUAUGCUUGCAGGGCGAAGAAAAUAAUGCCCUCCCGUGUGUGAUCUACUGCCAUGGAAAUAGAGCAGAUGCAAAUGAAGUUGCUGUAGUACUUCUUCCUUCAAACAUCACAGUUUUCGCACUAGACUUUUCCGGUUCAGGUCCAUCGGACGGAGAUUAUGUCAGCCUUGGUUGGCAUGAGAAAGAGGACCUCAAAUGCGCAGUAUCAUUCCUGCGCACCAACAAGCAAGUUUCCCGUAUAGACCUUCGGGCGCGAUCGAUGGGUGCUGUUACAAGCCUACUACAUGGAGCAGAAGAACUGAGAGAUGAUGUUUCUGCUGAGCCUACUAUAUGGUUCUUGAUGAACACUCCUAUAUCUGCAUUCAAAGGCAAAGGGCGGGCUAUCAUGCCUAAAACGCCUAGCAAAUCACCAUGCCCAAAAAGCUCUCGUCGCAAGCUUUUUACUUCACCUUUGAAGAUUAAAGGGCCUGAGGUUAAGGGAGCAGACCUGUCUAACUCUACUGGAAAUGUUACUACCGAAGCUGAAAAGAGUCCUUCUGCUGGAGAUGAACCUAAACAAGUUGAUCAAGAGACUGAGACCGCAGUAGCUGGAGAUGGAAAGAAUGUUCUUUCCGAACAGACUAAAAACAAGAGAUUGAAAUUUACUAAAUGCCCAGUGAAACAACCUUUUACCUUCAGGCUGCAAUAUGUUUUGCUUGGUACUGGUCCAUGCUCUUAUUCCAUUUCUGACGCAUAUGGAUAUGCUGAUCAAGAGAUUUUCUCAGCUCUCCUGCAUCGUAGCAACGGUCUAGCCAUCAGGUCUGAGGAUCGCCAGCACAGCAAACUUUUGUGGAUGCACUUGCUGUAUUUUGUGCGGAAUGAUCAUGCGCAUGGCCUGUUUCUCCUAUGGGCCGACGGCCUUCAAAUGACCGAGGAAAUAUCUACUACAGUUGUCUCUCUUAGCUUCCCGCAGCCACCAGACCCUAUCUUAUGUUCACUUACCUCAUCUCCCCCCUCCCCCCUUUGCCUGGAGCUCCUCCGCGGUAGCUGCUCCUGCGGUCGAACCAGAUACACGGAUGCCAAAGGCCCGCGGUCAGCUUCUGCAGUGCCCUACUCUUUACCAGGUGCGCCUCCUCCUCCCGGCAUCCAUUACUGUUGCUUCAUCACAGUCAACUCCAUGUGGUCAUGGUGUUCAAUCUAUUUUGGUCCUGAACAAAGGCGGAUAGGAGUUCCUACGAGCAGUCAUAUUUCUCAAGCUUUGUUUCAUUAUGAGUUUACUAGAGCUUGCUGCAUGUUUAUUCCAAGGCUUCGCUCCUUGUUAUUCUUAAUGCAUACUGUAUGUAUACCUUGUGCCAGCCCCCUUGGUCUAUCUUUUGAAAUCGUGCUCAUGGAGCUGGUCGAGCUAUCCACCGUUUCUCUAGCUGAAGCAAUGUUUGAGAAACUCGGGCUCCCUAAACCAGUCUACCAUGUGCAUCAGCUUGAGCAGGGUGGGUAUAAAGCGCAGGUUGAAUUUCACCGUACAAAAGAGCGUUUUCAUGCUUCAGCACGCCGGGUUAAACUGCCAAGCCCUGUAUGUGUGGAUGGGGAGGCAUCAAUGAAUCACAUGGAAUCCAGAGAGGCAUUAAUGUGUAUCAUCUUGAUUGUCGCCUUGACCUUAUCAAUCCCCUUCUUCCCUCCGUGUACCAAACCUUCUCUCGCUCACCCUGUCUCUUCCAGACCAUCGUCGUUGUUCCUCAACUUCGAUUGCAAUAUCAACACGUCAGUUCCUCAGGUGGAUCCUCACUGAAUCAGACCGCUUAACAGGCGAACCUUUACCAACAUGGUAUUAUUUCAAUUUUGAGUUGGUGUUGUUCCUUAGAGACAUGGUCAAAUAUUGAGAAAUUUUAGAUUUGCUUGCAUCUUGGUUUGCCCAUGACUGAAAUCAAUAUUUCUUCGUUGCUAACAAGAAAAGAUCAGUUGUCUCAUGCAGAUGCAUACCCUGUUGAUAUGUUACUGCUCAUUUCAGAAGUGUUUGAUUCAUCCUAGCUAAUUCAAGUUAACCUGGGUACAACAAUAGAUAGACAUUUAUUUAUGGACAAC